GUUAUAUUUUUCUAGCUAUGAUAAUCCUAAAAUAAUCAAAUUAGAGGGAGAUUCUAUUACAUAUUAAAUACUACUACGUUGUUAUGAUCUUUAAUUGCUACAUCUAAAGGAAUAGUUUCAUCGGUAAUAUUUUCAGAAGAUAACAAAUGACCAUCUAUGACUUCUAUAUGUACGGAUUUAACUUUCUUCACUAAAGGUAUUUUUUGA
rnacentral:lncRNA from 1 species